rnacentral:rRNA from 1 species
AACGAACGCUGGCGGCAUGCCUAACACAUGCAAGUCGAACGAGACCUUCGGGACUCGUGGCGCACGGGUGCGGAACGCGGGGGAGCCUGGCCUUGGGUGCGGAAUAACUCCCCGAAAGGGGUGCUAAUACCGGAAAGGGUCUUAGGACCACAGAUUGAUCGACGUUGGAUGGGCGCGCGUUGGAUUAGCUAGUUGGUAGGGUAAAAGCCUACCAAGGCGACGAGCCAUAGCUGGUCUGAGAGGAUGAUCCGCCACACUGGGACUGAGACACGGCCCAGACUCCUACGGGAGGCAGCAGUGGGGAAUAUUGGACAACGGGCGAAAGCCUGAACCAGCUAUGCUGGGUGAGUGAUGAAGGCCUUAGGGUUGGAAAGCUCUUUUACCCGGGAGGAUAAUGACAGUACCGGGAGAAUAAGCUCCGGCUAACUCCGUG